ACCCGGAGGAAGAGAAAGAAAAUUCGAUUCCCUUAGUAGCGGCGAGCGAAACGGGAAGAGCCCAAACCAACAAGCUUGCUUGUUGGGGUUGUAGGACACUCUAUACGGAGUUACAAAAGACGACAUUAGACGAAUCAUCUGGAAAGAUGAAUCAAAGAAGGUAAUAAUCCUGUAGUCGAAAAUGUUGUCUCUCUUGAGUGGAUCCUGAGUACGACGGAGCACGUGAAAUUCCGUCGGAAUCUGGGAGGACCAUCUCCUAAGGCUAAAUACUCUCUAGUGACCGAUAGUGAACCAGUACCGUGAGGGAAAGGUGAAAAGCACCCCGGAAGGGGAGUGAAAUAGAACCUGAAACCGUGUGCUUACAAGUAGUCAGAGCCCGUUAAUGGGUGAUGGCGUGCCUUUUGUAGAAUGAACCGGCGAGUUACGAUUUGAUGCAAGGUUAAGCAGUAAAUGUGGAGCCGUAGCGAAAGCGAGUCUGAAUAGGGCGUUUAGUAUUUGGUCGUAGACCCGAAACCAGGUGAUCUACCCUUGGUCAGGUUGAAGUUCAGGUAACACUGAAUGGAGGACCGAACCGACUUACGUUGAAAAGUGAGCGGAUGAACUGAGGGUAGCGGAGAAAUUCCAAUCGAACCUGGAGAUAGCUGGUUCUCUCCGAAAUAGCUUUAGGGCUAGCCUCAAGUGAUGAUUAUUGGAGGUAGAGCACUGUUUGGACGAGGGGCCCCUCUCGGGUUACCGAAUUCAGACAAACUCCGAAUGCCAAUUAAUUUAACUUGGGAGUCAGAACAUGGGUGAUAAGGUCCGUGUUCGAAAGGGAAACAGCCCAGACCACCAGCUAAGGUCCCAAAAUAUAUGUUAAGUGGAAAAGGAUGUGGCGUUGCCCAGACAACUAGGAUGUUGGCUUAGAAGCAGCCAUCAUUUAAAGAGUGCGUAAUAGCUCACUAGUCGAGUGACACUGCGCCGAAAAUGUACCGGGGCUAAACAUAUUACCGAAGCUGUGGAUUGUCCUUUGGACAAUGGUAGGAGAGCGUUCUAAGGGCGUUGAAGCAUGAUCGUAAGGACAUGUGGAGCGCUUAGAAGUGAGAAUGCCGGUGUGAGUAGCGAAAGACGGGUGAGAAUCCCGUCCACCGAUUGACUAAGGUUUCCAGAGGAAGGCUCGUCCGCUCUGGGUUAGUCGGGUCCUAAGCUGAGGCCGACAGGCGUAGGCGAUGGAUAACAGGUUGAUAUUCCUGUACCACCUAUAAUCGUUUUAAUCGAUGGGGGGACGCAGUAGGAUAGGCGAAGCGUGCGAUUGGAUUGCACGUCUAAGCAGUAAGGCUGAGUAUUAGGCAAAUCCGGUACUCAUUAAGGCUGAGCUGUGAUGGGGAGAAGACAUUGUGUCUUCGAGUCGUUGAUUUCACACUGCCGAGAAAAGCCUCUAGAUAGAAAAUAGGUGCCCGUACCGCAAACCGACACAGGUAGUCAAGAUGAGAAUUCUAAGGUGAGCGAGCGAACUCUCGUUAAGGAACUCGGCAAAAUGACCCCGUAACUUCGGGAGAAG
rnacentral:rRNA from 1 species